GCUGGUGUGGCUCAAUGGCAGAGCAGCUGAUUUGUAAUCAGCAGGUUGGGGGUUCGACUCCCUUCACCAGCU
rfam:Clostridiales bacterium GWF2_38_85 gwf2_scaffold_283, whole genome shotgun sequence.